GACGAACGCUGGCGGCGUGCCUAAUACAUGCAAGUAGAACGCUGAAGGAGGAGCUUGCUUCUCUGGAUGAGUUGCGAACGGGUGAGUAACGCGUAGGUAACCUGCCUGGUAGCGGGGGAUAACUAUUGGAAACGAUAGCUAAUACCGCAUAAGAGUAGAUGUUGCAUGACAUUUGCUUAAAAGGUGCAAUUGCAUCACUACCAGAUGGACCUGCGUUGUAUUAGCUAGUUGGUGGGGUAACGGCUCACCAAGGCGACGAUACAUAGCAGACCUGAGAGGGUGAUCGGCCACACUGGGACUGAGACACGGCCCAGACUCCUACGGGAGGCAGCAGUAGGGAAUCUUCGGCAAUGGACGGAAGUCUGACCGAGCAACGCCGCGUGAGUGAAGAAGGUUUUCGGAUCGUAAAGCUCUGUUGUAAGAGAAGAACGAGUGUGAGAGUGGAAAGUUCACACUGUGACGGUAUCUUACCAGAAAGGGACGGCUAACUACGUG
rnacentral:rRNA from 1 species